rnacentral:rRNA from 1 species
GGAGCCAGCCGCCGAAGGUGGGGUAGAUGAUUGGGGUGAAGUCGUAACAAGGUAGCCGUAUCGGAAGGUGCGGCUGGAUCACCUCCUUUCUAUGGAG